rnacentral:tRNA from 1 species
GGAGAGAUGUCCGAGCUGGUUGAAGGAGCACGAUUGGAAGUCGUGUGUGCGUAACAGCACCGUGGGUUCGAAUCCCACUCUCUCCG